rnacentral:antisense_RNA from 1 species
CCGUACACCAGGGUGUGGGCUGUACACAAGAUCAGGGUCAAAUAACCCAGUUUGGACUAUAAACAAGAAACAAAAAUAUGAGCAGAGGAAAAUAUAUAAGAAGAGAUUUACCUGGGUAGCAGUUAAGUUUCCCAAUCUCCAUCGUACAUAAUAUCGAAUAGGAAUCACAAGUGUGUAGAGGACAUGAAGGAAGGCAAAUCCCAGAGCUACCAAGCCAAGCUGCUUUCGGCAAAGCAUCCAGUGGUCAAGCCAGUCUGGGAAUCGACGGUAUUUUGUGCCUCGGUACAGUUGUAGAAUGGCAGCAAUAACACCAGGAAGGUAAACCAAAGCAAGCAGUUGCUCCUGACUGGAGAGCCCAGGCUGAGAUGGUGUUAAAUGCUUUUACCACGUGGGCUCCUGGCACCAAAUGAGCAAGAUCUCACCCCACAGGCCUUGGAAACCUGAGGCAGUAUUCUUCUGGGAUGUUUCCAACUAGGCUUCCCAUGAGGAUGUUAGAGCCAGCCUGGCUGGUGAAUUUUACUUCUCUCACCUCUCAGAGGGACAUGGAUGAAAUUGGAAAUCAUCAUUCUCAGUAAACUAUCGCAAGAACAAAAAACCAAACACCGCAUAUUCUCACUCAUAGGUGGGAAUUGAACAAUGAGAACACAUGGACACAGGAAGGGGAACAUCACACUCUGGGGGCUGUUGUGGGAUGGGGGGAGGGGUGAGGGAUAGCAUUGGGAGAUAUACCUAAUGCUAGAUGACGAGUUAGUGGGUGCAGCGCACCAGCAUGGCACAUGUAUACAUAUGUAACUAACCUGCACAUUGUGCACAUGUACCCUAAAACUUAAAGUAUAAUAAUAAAAAAAAAAUCUGUGAAGAACAGAGACAG